UACGGGAGGCAGCAGUGGGGAAUAUUGCACAAUGGGCGAAAGCCUGAUGCAGCUAUGCCGCGUGUAUGAAGAAGGCCUUAGGGUUGUAAAGUACUUUCAUCGGGGAGGAAAAAACAAAACUAAUAAUUUUAUUUCUUGACGUUACCCGAAAAAGAAGCACCGGCUAACUCCGUGCCAGCAGCCGCGGUAAUACGGAGGGUGCUAGCGUUAAUCAGAAUUACUGGGCGUAAAGAGCACGUAGGUGGUUUUUUUAAGUCAGAUAUGAAAUCCCUGGGCUUAACCUAGGAACUGCAUUUUGAAACUGAAAUACUAGAGUAUCGUAGAGGGAGGUAGAAUUCUAGGUGUAGCGGUGAAAUGCGUAGAUAUCUGGAGGAAUACCUGUGGCGAAAGCGGCCUCCUAAACGAAUACUGACACUGAGGUGCGAAAGCGUGGGGAGCAAACAGGGAUUAGAUACC
rnacentral:rRNA from 1 species